UACGUAGGUGGCAAGCGUUAUCCGGAAUUAUUGGGCGUAAAGGGAGCGUAGGCGGUUUGAUAAGUCUGAGGUGAAAGUUCGGGGCUCAACUCCGGAUUGCCUUAGAAACUGUCAGACUAGAGUGCAGGAGAGGGCAAUGGAAUUCCAUGUGUAGCGGUAAAAUGCGUAGAUAUAUGGAGGAACACCAGUGGCGAAGGCGGUUGCCUGGCCUGUAACUGACGCUGAGGCUCGAAAGCGUGGGGAGCAAAUAGG
rnacentral:rRNA from 1 species